UACGUAGGGGGCAAGCGUUGUUCGGAAUUACUGGGCGUAAAGGGCGCGUAGGCGGCAUGGCAAGUCGGGAGUGAAAGCCCGGGGCUCAACCCCGGAACGGCUUUCGAAACUGCCAAGCUAGAGUACGGAAGGGGCAACUGGAAUUCCCAGUGUAGCGGUGAAAUGCGUAGAGAUGGGGGAGAACACUCGUGGCGAAGGCGGCCAGCUAGACCAGUUCUGACACUGAGGCGCGACAGCGUGGGGAGCAAACAGG
rnacentral:rRNA from 1 species